UACGUAGGGUGCGAGCGUUAAUCGGAAUUACUGGGCGUAAAGUGUGCGCAGGCGGCAGAGCAAGUCGAGUGUGAAAGCCCCCGGGCUUAACUUGGGAAUUGCGCUCGAAACUACUUUGCUGGAGUGUGGCAGAGGAAGGUGGAAUUCCACGUGUAGCGGUGAAAUGCGUAGAGAUGUGGAGGAACACCGAUGGCGAAGGCAGCCUCCUGGGCCAGCACUGACGCUCAUGCACGAAAGCGUGGGGAGCAAACAGG
rnacentral:rRNA from 1 species